rnacentral:rRNA from 1 species
GAUGAACGCUGGCGGCAUGCCUAAGACAUGCAAGUCGAACGGAGUGGUCCAAUGAAGGCUGAGUGCUUGCACAAAGUUGGAUUUGGGUUUCCACUUAGUGGCAGACGGGUGAGUAACACGUAGGUAACCUACCUCAAAGUCUGGGAUAACAGGACGAAAGUUUUGCUAAUACCGGAUGAUUUGUAGACAGAUAACUAUCUAUACUAAAAGAAGCGUUUGCUUCGCUUUGAGAUGGGCUUGCGGUGUAUUAGCUAGUUGGUGAGGUAAUGGCCCACCAAGGCAACGAUGCAUAGCCGAGCUGAGAGGCUGAACGGCCACACUGGGACUGAGACACGGCCCAGACUCCUACGGGAGACAGCAGUUAGGAAUAUUCGUCAAUGGGGAAACCCUGAACGAGCGAUGCCGCGUGAGUGAUGAAGGUCCUUUGGAUUGUAAAAACUCUAGUUGUAAAAGGAAGAAACUCUAAUCAAUAGGAAAUGAUAGAUAGACUGUAACGG